UGGCAAUAUACAAAAGUAUACAAGUUUUCAAAACUAUCUACAAAAUAUAACCACUUUUGCAGAUUCUUCCACUACAUACCCAUUUAAAUAAAAUAGCUUUAAUUUUCGAAACUCCCAUCUGAAAAGUUUCUGAAAAGUGUUGCAUGUGUGUAAGAAUUGGGUACAUGCCUAAAUUUAUUCCUUUGUACUCUUACCUACCCACUGCCCCACGUUUAAUGCAAAGACUUCAAAAAUACCCAUCCACGUUAAUUAGUGAAAAUACCGCCGCUCCACUCUAGGGUUUGCCUUCUCCCUCUCGCCGUCUCCCUCUCGGCGUCUCCCAUUUCCGUCAUGGAUGCACCACAAGAGGUAGUUAUUAUCCUACGAACUCUCAUUAGUAUAAUACCGCCGGAAAUAAUUGGAAUACCGCCGGUGAAAAACGAAAAUACCGUCGUGAUAAUUGAUUAUACCGUCAGAAUAUGUGAGAAUAUCGACUGGUGAUAUUUUAAGUUUUCCGGCGGUUAUUUUGGUUUUUUCGGGCGAUAUUCGUGUGAUAGUAGUAUUUGUUGUUUUAUGUCAAAUAAAAUUGUUGUUGUAUUUUUUCCACCGAUAUUCGUGUGAUAUUAAUAUUUGUUGUUUUAUGCCAAAUAAAAAUUAUUGUUGUAUAUGAUUCUAAUGAAUUCAUAGAUUUGCUCUUAAAUAUAUCAUGUAUAUUCAUGUGUGCUCGAUAAACUAAUUAAUUCACAAAAUCACAAUAAAAUUCUUGAAUAGAUACAUUACAUAAAAAAAAUGAUAUCCUAUAAUAUUUAAUCAUAUAUGUCCUUGGCGAAGUAUAUUUUUUAAAGGGAUGACUAGUGUUAAAUACUGUUGAAUUUUGGUCCAAUUUGUAAUAUUAAUUUAAUUUUUAAAACAUUACAAUAUCACCUUUCAAUUUGUUGACCACUUAUGAUAUAUCGAGUAAUACGUGCAGAAAGACGAAGAUUUUUAUGUGGCCAUAAUAAUUUCUUUGGAACUAUGUGAGAGUAUCGAGCUUUCUAUAUAAAGAAAAAUAUAACGGAGAUAUUUGUGGCCGGAAUUACAUGUCAACAAAAUAUAUUAAAAUUGUAAAUCGGAUCAAAAGUUAUGAAUUCACGAUCAAUCAUAUAACGGAGAUAUUUGAUGGUAUAGCUUUUUGGUUUUAUACCGUCGGGUAAAUUGAUAAUACCGUCGAAGAAAUUCUAUUAUACCGCUGCGAAAAUCAAAGAAUACCACGACGGUAUUCUUAACUAGUCCGACGGUAUAUUUAAACACCACGACAGUAUUAUUAACUAAUUCGAUGAUAUUUAAGUGUCAAAACUUGUAUGUGCUGUUUCUAUAAAUUAUUAAGGUAUUUUGAAUAAUUGAUGCAGAUCAUUGUUCCAUGUGUUAUCAAAGAGCAUAUUGUUAUUGUUCGAAUCUAUCCCGGACUUUGGCAAGCAGAAUUGUUCGAUCCAAAGUAUCAUGGUUUGGAUGAACAAUCAAAGAUUGANAAAACUAUCUACAAAUAUAACCACUUUUGCAGAUUCUUCACUACAUACCCAUUUAAAUAAAUAGCUUUAAUUUUCGAAACUCCCAUCUGAAAAGUUUCUGAAAAGUGUUGCAUGUGUGUAAGAAUUGGGUACAUGCCUAAAUUUAUUCCUUUGUACUCUUACCUACCCACUGCCCCACGUUUAAUGCAAAGACUUCAAAAAUACCCACCCACGUUAAUUAGUGAAAAUACCGCCGCUCCACUCUAGGGUUUGCCUUCUCCCUAUCGCCGUCUCCCUCUCGGCGUCUCCCCAUUUCCGUCAUGGAUGCACCACAAGAGGUAGUUAUUAUCCUACGAACUCUCAUUAGUAUAAUACCGCCGGAAAUAAUUGGAAUACCGCCGGUGAAAAACGAAAAUACCGUCGUGAUAAUUGAUUAUACCGUCAGAAUAUGUGAGAAUAUCGACUGGUGAUAUUUUAAGUUUUUCCGGCGGUAUUUUGUUUUUUUUCGGGCGAUAUUCGUGUGAUAGUAGUAUUUGUUGUUUUAUGUCAAAUAAAAAUUGUUGUUGUAUUUUUUCCACCGAUAUUCGUGUGAUAUUAAUAUUUGUUGUUUUAUGCCAAAUAAAAAUUAUUGUUGUAUAUGAUUCUAAUGAAUUCAUAGAUUUGC
rnacentral:lncRNA from 1 species